UCUAGUUAUUAUAGCGAAGAGGAUACACCUGUUCCCAUUCCGAACACAGAAGUUAAGCUCUUUAGCGCCGAUG
rnacentral:rRNA from 1 species